rnacentral:rRNA from 1 species
GAUUCCCCUAGUAACGGCGAGCGAACCGGGAGGAGCCCAGCUUGAGAAUCGGACGGCUCCGCUGCCCGAAUUGUAGUCUGUAGAAGCGUCCUCAGCGACGGACCGGGCCCAAGUCCACUGGAAGGUGGCGCCGGAGAGGGUGAGAGCCCCGUCGUGCCCGGACCCUGCCGCACCACGAGGCGCUGUCGGCGAGUCGGGUUGUUUGGGAAUGCAGCCCUAAUCGGGCGGUAAGUUCCGUCCAAGGCUAAAUACCGGCGAGAGACCGAUAGCGAACAAGUACCGCGAGGGAAAGAUGAAAAGGACUUUGAAAAGAGAGUCAAAGAGUGCUUGAAAUUGUCGGGAGGGAAGCGGAUGGGGGCCGGCGAUGCGCCUCGGUCGGACGCGGAAUUGCUGUCGAAGCUAGUCCGCCGCUCGGCUCGGGGCGCGGACCGUUGCGGGUCGAGGCGGCGGCCUAAGCCCGUGCGGACGAUCCCGCGCGUGGAGUCGUCGCCGCCUCGACCGGGGAAGUCAUCAGCACGCGCCGAGUCGGCGUGCAGUCUGCGUGCUCUCGGCAACGGCCUGCGGGCCCCCCAUUCGG